rnacentral:tRNA from 1 species
GUAGUCGUGGUUGAGUGGUUAAGGCGAUGGACUUGAAAUCCAUUGGGGUCUCUCCGAGCAGGUUCGAAUCCUGCCGACUACA